AGAACUCUAAAGAACUAUUUCAUAGUUGCCUCUGGGUCUACAGGUCACAAGCUGAAAAUGCAGCUCUGUGACCAGGGAAAAGGACUUCAGCUGUUCCCUGCUGAUGACCAAUGAGCUUUGAAUGACGGUUGAUAUAACUUGGGUGACGAGGUUUCUGAAUUACAGCUUUCGUCUGGAUAUCUCAAGGAGCUUGCAGGACUGCCGUUGAAGGACACUGGAGAUGUCCCCCCUUGAGUCUGCAAGGAGUGUCCGAUGAGAGAACCGCAGCAGCUGCUUGGGGCCCUCCUGCCCAGCAGUGAAAGACUGACCAGUACAAGCAUUUACACUGUUAUCCUGGGGCACGUCUGUCUCCGGAGGCAACGUGAAGGCACGAAGGAGCAUCCCCUUUGAAGGAGGAGGGUCAGUGCAGUGAGGACAACGACAGAGGAGCCCCACAAGCCAUUAGGUCUCCUCUGCCUGAGGUGGAUUAAGAAGUAAGUUGGAGCAUGCCUACGUGACAUGUGAUGCAGAGAUCGCCCAGCUAGUGCUGACCCAAACUGAUAAACA
rnacentral:lncRNA from 1 species